ACUGUUUCUAUAAUUAUGUACCUAUUACUCCAUUCUCUAUUGGUUUUCAAAAACUAUAAGUACUCCUCUUCUCUUCUCACUUAGGACACGAACAAAAUUCUCUCUGAACUCUCUUUCAUACAGAAUAUUCAGUGCUCUCUCUUUGUUUCCACACAAUCUUUCUCACUUCUCUUGUGACUACUGGUUGCUCCACUUGUUUGAAAUUCAGACUGAGUUUUAGACUAUUUCACUGUUCCGUUGCACUCUAUAUUGCGGCUCAAUAACUCUAUAUUGCGGCUCACUUCUAUUGCUGCACACUUCUAC
rnacentral:lncRNA from 1 species